UACCCCCCCGGGCGCCCCUGGGCCCCACCGCGGGCGCCCGCCGGAGGUCACCAAACUCUUGAUAAUUUUAUGGCCUCUCUGAGUCUUCUGUACUGAAUAAGUCAAAACUUUCAACAACGGAUCUCUUGGUUCUGGCAUCGAUGAA
rnacentral:misc_RNA from 1 species